rnacentral:rRNA from 1 species
GACGAACGCUGGCGGCGUGCUUAACACAUGCAAGUCGAACGGAAAGGCCCUUUCGGGGGUACUCGAGUGGCGAACGGGUGAGUAACACGUGGGUGAUCUGCCCUGCACUUCGGGAUAAGCUUGGGAAACUGGGUCUAAUACCGGAUAGGACUACGGACUGCAUGGUCUGUGGUGGAAAGCUUUUGCGGUGUGGGAUGGGCCCGCGGCCUAUCAGCUUGUUGGUGGGGUGAUGGCCUACCAAGGCGACGACGGGUAGCCGGCCUGAGAGGGUGUCCGGCCACACUGGGACUGAGAUACGGCCCAGACUCCUACGGGAGGCAGCAGUGGGGAAUAUUGCGCAAUGGCCGUAAGGCUGACGCAGCGACGCCGCGUGUGGGAGGACGCCUUUCGGGUGU